rnacentral:rRNA from 1 species
CCUACGGGAGGCAGCAGUGGGGAAUAUUGCACAAUGGGGGAAACCCUGAUGCAGCGACGCCGCGUGAGUGAAGAAGUAUUUCGGUACGUAAAGCUCUAUCAGCAGGGAAGAAAAUGACGGUACCUGACUAAGAAGCCCCGGCUAACUACGUGCCAGCAGCCGCGGUAAUACGUAGGGGGCAAGCGUGAUCCGGAUGUACGGGGUGUAAAGGGAGCGUAGACGGCAGCGCAAGUCUGGAGUGAAAUCCCAUGGCUUAACCAUGGUACUGCUUUGGAAACUGUGCAGCUAGAGUGCAGGAGAGGUAAGCGGAAUUCCUAGUGUAGCGGUGAAAUGCGUAGAUAUUAGGAGGAACACCAGUGGCGAAGGCGGCUUACUGGACUGUAACUGACGUUGAGGCUCGAAAGCGUGGGGAGCAAACAGGAUUAGAUACCCUAGUAGUC